AUACUUACCUGGCAGUGGAGAUACCAUGAUCAUGAAGGUGGUUUUCCCAGGGCGAGGCUUAUCCAUUGCACUCCGAAUGUGCUGACCCCUGCGAUUUCCCCAAAUGUGGGGAACUUGACUGCAUAAUUUGUGGUUUUUUAAAGAGAGGAACAUCGAUUCAUUGCCUCUUC